AAAAAAAAAACAAGCAAUUUGUAACAAUGAAAAAGAUUCAGGUAGAAGGACAUAUGGGGAAAGGACAUUUAAUAGGUUUGGUUUGCACGGGUUGAAUACUUGAAUGUGGACACUGAUAUACACAGGAUCAAAUACUUGGCAUUCAACCUACAGCGAGACCUCUUCCUGGUGGAAUACUACAGUGAAUGGUCAAAUCAGGAUAAUCUGCCAUGCAACUUUCUUGAGAAGCUUCUUGAGUGCAGGCUGAGUGAUUGUAAACGUUUAUGUCCUGCUACUGCUCUUAGUAGUGUCACUGGAAUUCUCAUUGUCGACCAUACUCAUGGAAGAAGCAGUUAAAGAGGCAAAGCUUGUCAAACUAAGGUACGCUCAAAUGAUUGCUUUUAUUUUAUUUAGUAAUAUGCUAAUUAUAAUUGCACAGUUACAAAGCGCUGUUGCAUUGGUGGCCUCCCAGUGCUACAAGCAAAAUGAUAGAAAAUGAUAGUUUUUGUGAGUGGAUUUGAACUACAGGUCUCCCUCUAAAUAAAGACCACUUUUGGGACCACAGUUUCCAUGAUCUUCAGUCUCUAAUUAGAAAAAUAAAGAUGAAAGACAUUUGUUAAU